rnacentral:rRNA from 1 species
GUGAACGCUGGCGGUAGGCCUAACACAUGCAAGUCGAACGGCAGCACAGUAAGAGCUUGCUCUUACGGGUGGCGAGUGGCGGACGGGUGAGGAAUACAUCGGAAUCUACUUUUUCGUGGGGGAUAACGUAGGGAAACUUACGCUAAUACCGCAUACGACCUACGGGUGAAAGCAGGGGAUCUUCGGACCUUGCGCGAUUGAAUGAGCCGAUGUCGGAUUAGCUAGUUGGCGGGGUAAAGGCCCACCAAGGCGACGAUCCGUAGCUGGUCUGAGAGGAUGAUCAGCCACACUGGAACUGAGACACGGUCCAGACUCCUACGGGAGGCAGCAGUGGGGAAUAUUGGACAAUGGGCGCAAGCCUGGUCCAGCCAUACCGCGUGGGUGAAGAAGGCCUUCGGGUUGUAAAGCCCUUUUGUUGGGAAAGAAAAGCAGCAGGUUAAUACCCCGCUGUUCUGACGGUACCCAAAGAAUAAGCACCGGCUAACUUCGUG